rnacentral:lncRNA from 1 species
AUGUUUAAUAUCUUGGAUACAUAUUGUCUUGUGGUUAAUUAAAGAUAUUGGUUUAUAAAUUAAACCAUGAGGCCACCCUUAUCAUUCAUUUCAACAAACAAAAUUUCAUUUCUUUCUUUCCUUCUUUGAUGCUCUCGGCCGAAUACCAUAGUCCACCCACCAACACUUUCAAUUUUCCAUCUUGCCAUCCCACAUACAUAUCAAGGUGCUAGAGUUCACAUAAGGAGACCCGGUGCUUACGGAAUCGCAAGGACCUCACCACAACGCCAUUAACCACCUAUUUUUCGUCUAGUUUCUUCCCUAGCCUCGAGCUAGUAGUAAGUGUUCUAAAACAUCCUAUUGAUCUUGUCUAAAGUGGUUAAUAAGAGAUUUGUCGGAUAAAAAUUAUGAACACUAGAGACCAAAACAAAAAGUCUACUAAAAAUAAUAAACUUGGUGGUUAAUGAAUGAAUGGGAACGGAUCGUCAUCUAACCACGCUAGGUCAUGUUCAUGGAACAUGAACUAGCACUAUUUUUAGUGUAAAAAUAACUAGAUGACGAACCCUUUCACUCAAUAACAUGAACUUGCGUAAAAGUAAUUUUUCUUUUAAAAUGAAGUUCUAAACUAGUAGAUCUAAAUAUCUACAAGUGGUUUUUCGGAAGAACCAAGCAAAAAUAUUAGUGUUGUUAAAACCCGGAUCUUAUCCGAACUAAAAGCGUUUUUAGUAAAUAAACAAGUGUGUGGACACUUGUGUCACCAGAAAAAUUUAACAAAGAAAUAUUUUUGCGAAUCUCGACUAGAAGUUGUGAGACUUCAUAUUCUUUAAAAAUAAAGUUUUUAAGAAACUAAAAUUAUUUUUAAAGAUAACGAGACUUACUAAAUGUGCUAGUAAGUUACUACACAUUUUUGUAAAUAUUCAAGUUCAUGAAAUGGAGAAAUUAGUGAUUAUUGUUGACGAUUAUUGUUGAUAAUUGUUGUUGAUGAUUGAUGACGAUUUAAAAGAAAAUAAACACAUGUUUUGAAAACAUGGGAAACCUCCAUUUUUAGGGGAAACUCUGUCAAAAUUUUUAUAAAUUUUGACACUUAGAAAAAUAUAAGUUUUUGAGAAACUUAUUCCCUAAAAAUGUAUUUAGGAGUAUUACCAAGGUUUCCCUAAUUUUUGGUGAUAAGAAAUGAGGAUUUCUUCAAGAAUAAAAAUGGAUAUAAGUAUGUAUAUUUUUGAGAGAAAAAUAUAUAUUAUUUUAUCACCAACUUUUGUGCUAAGUGUAUAUAGUAUGUGUUAUACGUGCUAGCGUAUUAAGGCGUAAAAAUACACUAAAUACUCAUGAGGAGUAUAAACAUGAAAAUACACAUACAAUAUACUAGACACAUAAUUCGGGUGCAAUGUGCAAAACACAAAAGACUUAUAUUUAUUUGUGAGAAAAUAAUAUAAGUAAGACAUUUAGUUAAAAAUAUAAAAUAUUUUUAACACAAGAAAAUAUACACAAAAGUGAGUGACUGAACUUGUGCGACGCAAGUCUAGUGACUAACGUUAAGAAAACGCGUAUAGGUUACGACGUUAAAUAAGCAAACCCGGUGAAGUUUACGACGCACAGGAACGCAAAGUUGUAACUAGGAUGGAUGUGCGCGUGGUCUCGCUUAUGCUCGUGGAUGUCGCUUGUGUUUGUCUUUAAAUUAAGUGUAAACCUUUUAAGACAAUGUUUUAUGUUAACUCGCGAUGUAAACGCUAACUUAUGAUUUCAAAUUAUGGUAUUUGAAGUUAUUUUC